GUGGGGAAUAUUCCGCAAUGGACGAAAGUCUGACGGAGCAACGCCGCGUGAGUGAUGAAGGUUUUCGGACUGUAAAGCUCUGUUGUUUAGGACGAAAGUGCCUGUUGCAAAUAGUUACAGGUAUUGACGGUACUGAACGAGGAAGCCACGGCUAACUACGUGCCAGCAGCCGCGGUAAUACGUAGGUGGCAAGCGUUGUCCGGAAUUAUUGGGCGUAAAGAGCAUGUAGGCGGGAAUCUAAGUCUGUUGUGAAAAUGCGGGGCUCAACCCCGUAUUGCGAUGGAAACUGGGUUUCUUGAGUGCAGGAGAGGAAAGCGGAAUUCCCCGUGUAGCGGUGAAAUGCGUAGAUAUGGGGAGGAACACCAGUGGCGAAGGCGGCUUUCUGGACGGUGUCUGACACUGAGGCGCGAAAGCCAGGGGAGCGAACGGGAUUAGAAACCCGGGUAGUCC
rnacentral:rRNA from 1 species